CACGUAGGGACCGAGCGUUGUCCGGAUUUAUUGGGCGUAAAGAGCUCGUAGGCGGUCGCGUAAGUCGGGUGUGAAAUCUCCAGGCUCAACUUGGAGGGGCCACCCGAUACUGCACGACUCGAGUCCGGUAGGGGAGUGGGGAAUUCCUGGUGUAGCGGUGAAAUGCGCAGAUAUCAGGAGGAACACCGGUGGCGAAGGCGGGUCUCUGGGCCGAUACUGACGCUGAGGAGCGAAAGCGUGGGGAGCGAACAGG
rnacentral:rRNA from 1 species